rnacentral:rRNA from 1 species
CAGCCGCCGCGGGAAUACAGAGGGUGCGAGCGUUAAUCGGAUUUACUGGGCGUAAAGCGUGCGUAGGCGGCUAAUUGAGUCGGAUGUGAAAUCCCCGAGCUUAACUUGGGAAUUGCAUUCGAUACUGGUUAGCUAGAGUGUGGGAGAGGAUGGUAGAAUUCCAGGUGUAGCGGUGAAAUGCGUAGAGAUCUGGAGGAAUACCGAUGGCGAAGGCAGCCAUCUGGCCUAAUACUGACGCUGAGGUACGAAAGCAUGGGGAGCAAACAGGAUUAGAUACCCCUGUAGUCCCUGUCUCUUAUAC